rnacentral:rRNA from 1 species
GACGAACGCUGGCGGCGUGCUUAACACAUGCAAGUCGAACGGAAAGGCCCUGCUUGCAGGGUACUCGAGUGGCGAACGGGUGAGUAACACGUGGGUGAUCUGCCCUGCACUUCGGGAUAAGCCUGGGCAACUGGGUCUAAUACCGGAUAGGAGCCAUUUUUAGUGUGAUGGUUGGAAAGUUUUUUCGGUGUAGGAUGAGCUCGCGGCCUAUCAGCUUGUUGGUGGGGUAAUGGCCUACCAAGGCGGCGACGGGUAGCCGGCCUGAGAGGGUGGACGGCCACAUUGGGACUGAGAUACGGCCCAGACUCCGACGGGAGGCAGCAGUGGGGAAUAUUGCACAAUGGGCGCAAGCCUGAUGCAGCGACGCCGCGUGGGGGAUGACGGCCUUCGGGUUGUAAACUCCUUUCGCUAGGGACGAAGCUUUUUGUGACGGUACCUAGAUAAGAAGCACCGGCUAACUACGUG